GACGAACGCUGGCGGCGUGCUUAACACAUGCAAGUCGAACGAUGACGACCGAGCUUGCUCGGUCUGAUUAGUGGCGAACGGGUGAGUAACACGUGAGCAACCUGCCCUUCACUCUGGGAUAACCUCGGGAAAUCGGGGCUAAUACCGGAUAUGAGCUCCUGUCGCAUGGCGGGUGUUGGAAAGUUUGUCGGUGCAGGAUGGGCUCGCGGCCUAUCAGUUUGUUGGUGAGGUAGUGGCUCACCAAGGCGAUGACGGGUAGCCGGCCUGAGAACGCGACCAGCCACACUGGGACUGAGACACGGACCAGACUCCAACGGGAGGCAGCAGUGGGGAAUAUUGCACAGUGGGCGAAAGCCUGAUGCAGCGACGCCGCGUGAGGGAUGACGGCCUUCGGGUUGUAAACCUCUUUCAGCAGGGAAGAAGCGAAAGUGACGGUACCUGCAGAAGAAGCGCCGGCUAACUACGUG
rnacentral:rRNA from 1 species